CCCCACCCUCAGGCCUUCAAAGCACUGUUGUUUGUGUCUAUGGGUUAUGCAUCUAUGCAUAUAAAUUCUUUGGCUCAUCUCCCCCAAC